rnacentral:lncRNA from 1 species
UGUUCCCGCCCCCGACCGGAGCCUUUCGGGUGGCUCCGCCCACAGCGGGCGUUUCCUCAAGCCACGCCUGCGCAGGUCGUCGGGGGAGACUGAUGAAGAGACGACUAUCCCCAGACCGUAUUUUAACUACUAUGGCGCUGUGUAAGAAGCAACCUGAGAAGUGUGGAUGAAAAGCUACAGGCCUUCCAAUACCUUGAUAUCAGACUGCUAGCCUCCAGCAUUGUUCCCUGCUGAAAUACCUUAGUGAGAAUGCAUAAAAACCAACUCUAAAUGAUGCACAAAGCCACCGAGAGUGACAUUCACAAUGAGCAUUUACCCAGCAUUUUGUGCUGGCAUCUUCCAGGAUGUACAAGCAUCCCAACAUAGUCUCAGAUUCUUGGUCCCUGGCACUGGCAGAGCUGAAAUGGUCAUAUUCCCACUGGCCUCUGGUUACAUGAUCCAUGCUGCCUUCUGUAGUCACAUAUUAUUUGUGAUAACAAACAAGGCUGGACUGGAUCCUGAAUUCUUUUAGUGCACUACCUCCAGUAUCUAGCUUCAACUCUUCAACUAAGAGCAAAAAUGCUAAGCUGGACAACUUGAUAGAAAUUUCAAGGGACAAGUCUCAUGUGUGAUGUGCGUGCCAUACAGAGAGUUCACCAGAAUAUCUAACGCCACAACCAGGGACAUUCAAACUGCAAACCAGGUUGAGAAUUUGCUAACUGCAUGCCGUGGACAGCUUUUCCCAAGGCCAUCAGACGAAGACUUCUUAUGAUAUUCUUACCCCUCUUAAUUUUUCCUUGCUUAUGCCUACUUCUUUCGCUUGGCAGAAUAAGGCUAUGGUUAAAGUUUCACAAUCCUUAGUUUUUGUGAGUAAUCUGACAGCAUGUUGAAUCUGUUAUGUCAAAUCUGAAUCUUUAAAAAACCUGAGAUCCUUUAGUCCACCUAGUGGGUAACUUCAGCAACAUCCCUAAUAUCCCUAAUGCAACUGUUUGUUCAAAUUGUACUAGUGAUCUCUUUUAUAGAGUUAGUACUGUCUGUUUUAAUUUAACCCAUUCCUGGAAUGCUAUAUGAUAGAAUUGCUACCGACUAAAUGAAUAGGGAGAAAUCUGUGCAAUUGCUAAUACUUCUUGUUACCCAUAGAUAUAAUGAGUAUCCGGCCUGGCUCAUUCUUUGAUCUAUUUAAUUUCAGUUGGUUUAGUUUAUGGGGAUCCUAGAUAAAGGAGCAUACUCCAAACUCCUGGCAUUAUCCUUUUGAUAGUCAUAAUAGUAGUUUCUCUGGUACACUAUAUCCUCUCGAAAAGUUUUAAAGGUUGCACACAGCCAUUCAUCAAACACCAAAGAGUCUCUUUUCUGCUGGAAUGACAAAAACUCAAAUAAAUGCAUGAUGAUGAGUACACCAUAACCUAUGAAUGACUUGUAGAGACCAGAAACCCAGCAUGAUAAUAAGAGUAGCAUUAAUGCCCUUAGUUUUGGUCAUGCACUCACCCAGGUGAAAGCAUGACUGAAAGGGGAAAAUUGUUAAAUACAAAAUAUAGGAGGCCAUUGUUUUGGACUAAGCUUCUGCACUAGGCCCCACAGCUCCUGCAUUAGGCCCCAACAGAUUUGACUAAAAAUCAAAAUGGAGUUAUCCAUGCUGAAGUUCCACAUCACCAAACUGAAACUAAGUUGUUAUAUAACAUUCCAAGAAAGCAGGAGAGAGAGAUAGCAGCCAAUUUCCCAAAUAGGCCAAUUUCAAUCUUCAAUCAGUAGGAUAAUAGUUUCCUCUGUUUUAAUCCUUAAAAGUAACCUGAUGCUAACCAAUCUUUCUAUUUUUCUGCCUCCCUGUCCCUGCCUUUCAAGGAAAGUAACUUUGAAAUAAUCAAUCUGUUUUUUGUUCUUCAUUUUUGCUUUCCUUAGCCCUUUCUGUCUAUAAAACCAACCCCUUCUGUUCAACUCACUGGCAAAUUUAUUGUAUUUUAUGGCAUAAAAUGUUGCCUGAUUCUAGAAUUGCAAUAAAGCCAACCGUGAUCUUUACUAAUCCUUGACAGAAACACUGGAAGGAUUUCUUCUCUGCAAAACUACCCUCUUCCUUCACGCUGAAUCAUCAGAAAGAGGAGCCGGCUGCAUCCCUAAAUUCAUCCCUUAUUUUAAUUAACCCAAGGAUGACAUGGAGGCCUUGGAGACCCUAUACAGUGCUGUGUGUUCAGCAGUAAAUAUCCACCCAUUGUAGUCAGGAGCCAGCAUCUUCAUCAUCCUUUCUUGUUAGAACAAACUUGUCCAACCCAUGGCCCAUGGGCCACAUGUGGCCUAGGACGGCUUUGAAUGCGGCCCAACACAAAUUUGUAAAGUUUCUUAAAACAU